AAAAAUAGGUUAGUCUUCUAUUGCUACUCAUCACAGGUGAAAUGUUAAGAGGAAUAAACUGGCGGGAAGAUGCAGUGCCGCAGAUGUAAAGAUGUAAAGAUGUACAAUUGAUUCAGUAAAUUUAUAUUAAGAGUUGGUUUAUCUUUUUUUUAUUGCCCUGUAUAUUUUGAUAUAUUUUGUAAGUUUGUAUGAAGCUCAUGUUCUCAGUUUUUGUUAUAUUUUGGAAUGGUGUCAGAACAAAAGUUCACAUUUAUAAUGUAUUAUAAAAAGAGCUUAACAUUAUAGUUGGAGGUAAUGAUUAUUUUCUUUAUAUAUUUAGCCUCAGUAAAUUGAGGAAUGAGUAAAAAAAAAAAAAAAAAAAGUUAAUGCUGUUUUUAUUCAUGUAUGUGUUCUACAAUUUUUUUCCAUAUAAACAUAUUGUUUCAAGUGUUAGCUAGAGGAAUUAACAUUAGGGGAACAGUUCCCCUUUGAGGGGCCUUAACUUCUUUUGACUAUCUGUUGAUCAACUCUGAACUCAGUGGCCUGUAUAUGUAAGAAUAAUAAAUGUUUUGACAACCUUGAAGCUUCAUAUUGAAUUGGUGUUGUAUAUAAAAGAAUUCCAUAAAAUAUGAAGGAUUU